CCUGGCAUCACAAGGCUGAUAGAGAUGUUUCCUGCUCUUAAGUCCUUUCUUUCACAAGAGCAACCACCAACAGUAAUAAAAAAAUUCUUUGAAAAUGAAAUGAGUGAGAUUUACCUCUGGCACAUGCACUCUUUAAUGGCUGUAUUUCACACACACGUUCAAACAAUUGAAAAGGAAAGUAACUCUGUUGUAGAAGUGCUGACAAAUUUGGAGUCUGUGUGUAAAGUACUUGCACAAAGAAAGAACCAGCAUUUCAUGUCUUUAAAAGUUAAAGGACUAAUUACUCAGAAGCGCACAGAAGGAAAAGAAGAAGAGUGUAACAGGUUCUGUGUUGAAGUAGUUAACCUGUACAACAGAUGCUCAGAGUACUUAGCUAAGUGGAUGAAACCACUGGAAGAGUUCUCUUGUUUCAAGUGGAUGGUCUUGAGUGAAAUGCCAAACUGGACUGAUGUGGAACCUUGUGUUGUAUACUUGAUAGACAAGGGAAUAGAGCUUGAUGAUGUAAAGUGCUUUGACCAAGUUUGUAACUUGAGGCAGUUUGUAGAAAGGAACAAGAAUGAUGAAGACUUCAGUAAAUUACCAGCACAUAAAAAAUGGACCAGAUACUUUGAAGCAUCAAAGAAUAUUGAAUGCCACUCAGAACUGCUCAGAAUUGCACAAUUUUUUUUUUGCUGUAACAUCCCACAAUGCUAAUGUGGAGCGAGUCUUUUCGCUGAUGCAAAGUCAGCGGACGAAGGAAAGGAACAAGCUGAGUGUUGAUACAAUGAAAGGUAUUCUGACUGUACAGUACAACUACUGAGAGACCUCUUGCGUUGACUUCCUCAACUUUUUAAAGUCCAACAAGGAACUACUUAAAAAUAUAAGAUCUACAGAAAAAUAUGUAUCGGCACAUCAAGCAACACACGCAGUGGUUGAAGAAGAGUUAGAAGACACCAACUAAGCUAAGUGGAAAAACGGAAUUCAAGAUUAUCAGCCAUAUGCAAAGGUGAUUGCAGUGGCUCCAAGUCUUGGGAAAACCAUGUGUGGAGCACAAGCAGUCUGUCCACACUGAAAAUUUUGAGCUCAAGCAUACCAGCAGCACAACACAUCUGCUGAACAAUGCAGCUCCAAUUCCUGCAGAUAAACGAACUUCAGGCACAUACCACAGAGCAUUUCUGUGACUACACAACUGUGUUAUAACUGACUGAAUUGUGGUAAAGUGGCUUACAGCAGGAAAGGAAACACAACCGGCACAUCUGAGUCAAGCAUGUUAACCGAUGUGAUGAGCAAUGUGAACAAGGACACCAUCCACACCACCCAAGACAGUCCAGCAAUCUGGAAGGAAGACCAGCACAAUACCACAGCAAUUGAUGCAAAGAGCAGCAGAUUUCCUGCCUCCCAGGAUGUUGUAAUUUUUCACUGGACAUCAAUGAUAUGCUUUGAUUAGUGUGACAGUGGAGGACGAGGAGGAAGAGGAGGAGGCAGCUUGCUGUAGCAGUAUAUUAUCACAGUCCUAAAAGGAUUACAGUAAGCACUGCAUUUCUCGUUGAGAAACAUUUUGUUAGCAGGAGCAACAAACUCUGGCAGUCCUGUAAAGGAAGUUACUUUAAGGCAAUAUAUCUCAUGUAAUGAGUAUCAUCAAAGAUUUGUUUAAUUUUUACCAGGUUUCUGAUUCCAUUAUUGGAGGCAAGGAUACUAGUGAACAUGACAAAAGUUUGAAACUUGGAAACCAUGCAUUUUUGUUUGUGAUUAAAGAACUGAGAAAUGGAAAUUUUUUAGGUUAUUCCUUUUAUCUGGGAAAGACUGAUAUUAUGCAGAGUGUGAGAAUGAUGACAUGUUCAUUAGGCUUAAGACAUUGAUACUUAAGUAACUGCACUUUUUUUUUCUUCCUCUGACCAAGAGGGAAUACAAUGUUCUUCUCUUGGAAUCUUGACAUGUUUGCCGUCAAUGGUAAAUGGAUCCAUUUCUCGGAUGAUUCACCGAAGCUUUUGAAGAGACUCGGUAACACUAUUGUGAAGGAGAAAAGUAAAGUACAUACAGGGUAAUGUAAUUAAAUGAUGAACGUUUAAUUUUCAAUGAUCAUCAGCUUAAAAAUAUGAGACUUGCUCCUAACUGGUAAAUUCAACAUGUGUAGGAUUUUCAAGUAAUGAACAGAAUAGACACACAUUCCAUGGUAGGCUUACUGCCACAAGAAGCUGUCCUUAUUGCAGUAUAGGCAUGUAUAUCAGGUGCAUAGAUCCUUUUCAUUAUUGAAAUAGUUUAGUUACUCUUCAUUUUGAUGAUGUUUAUUGCUAAAUCCUGUAAAAUUUGCAAGGAAUGCAAGAACACCAUGGAAACUGUGCCAUUCACACACUGUAACAAGACAGCACUUCAGGUGCUGUGGCACAACUGGUCUUUGUUCAGUUCCCUUACCUUAGUUAUUAAUUAGAUGAACCAUACUUCCUUGACAAGACCACACUUCCUUGACAAGAUUAAGACUUGGAUUACCCACUGACUUCAGUUCCUAACUCUAAAUUUGAAGAUACAGUGAUGGCAUCAGACUACUUCUACCUCAUAAUCUUUUCCAUGUAACUGAUUGUGCCUGAAGAAGAUUUUUGAGCCUCAUGAAUGUCAAAUGACAAGGAUAUUUUGUCAGAUACCAGCCAUCAGUUAGACAGCAGCAGUGAGGCAGAUUAGAUUUAUGAUUUUACGUGGCCUUUUCACUUCCCAAUGAGGAAAAAAAGUGUAUUUUCUUUACCAGUCAUAAGUUUGUGUUGCCUUUGCAUGUGUUUCAACAACUAACCAAAAGCUUUAGUUUAAUGAAACUUCGAGUAUUUUAUGUCCUUAAAUAGGAAAUGGGAAGAAAUAAACAUGAAAAGUUGAAUAGUAAAUUUGCAUACAGUACACAGAUAUGCCCACAAAAUUUCUUUCUAGUUGUUUUUGUUUUUUUCACUGUAUUCUUGCAAAAAUUCUGCUCUUGUCCUACUGUCUCACUGCAUGUCCCAUGUCCAAGCUCAGGAUGCUGUAUUUUAUCCUGCAUAUAAUGUUUCAUCAGGUUUGUGCUCUUUUGUACAGCAUAUGCAAAAAUUAUUUAAAUUCUGCAUGUUUACUUUGUGGUGACAUAAAUGCUUCUCUUCUCUGAAAGUUUCUUUGGCUAGCUACAUGUUAUUAACAAUAUAUCUUUAGCUGCCAUAUGCCCACUGUAUAUCCUUACUUUAGUGUUGUUGUUGUUGUUGUUGUUGUUGUUGUUGUUGUUGUUGUUGUUGUUGUUGCUGCUGUUGUUGUUGUUUUGAUGUUGUUGUUGUUGUUGUUGUUGUUGUAUGCAGUUCUGAGUUGCCAUGUCAUUUGUUCUGAUAUGGAAGUCUUUGUGUUCUCUGUUAGGUGGUGUAGCCUUGCUAUGUUGACUCUGUUACCUCCUGAUGUACAUUCAAAAAGUCGAUAUGGGUAGAUAUUAAGGAAGGAUCACAGUCAGCAGUACUGGGAGUAGUGUACAGUCCACCAAACAGUACAAAGGAAAUUAACACCUCACUGUGGCAGGAAAUAAAUAGAGCAGGAAGGUACAGUCUGGUAUGUGUGAUAGGAGAUUUUAAUUUUAGGAAUAUCAACUGGAGCCUGAUGGUGGGUAACAAGGAAUCAGAGGAAUUUCUUAAGGUAACUCAGAAUAAUUUUUUAAAACAGGUAGUCGUUGAACCCACAAGGGGGAACAAUAUUAUACUAACAGGAAGAAAGCAGUCAUGCAGAUAGAGGUUGGAAGGCAGCUAGGUAACAGUGACCAUUAGGAAAUUAGGUACAAAUUAAAAUGGGAAGAAACUUUUAGAAGCAAAAACACUAUUAAAAUACCUGACUUUAGGAGAGGAGUUGACUGGCAACAGAUGCAGAGUGAGGUCAGGUCUGGGUCAGAGUUGAGAGAGAUAAGGCAGGAUGAGAGAGGUGAGGUGAGGUAUGAGGGUGCAGGACAAGAGGAGGGAAGAUGUGUCCAGAAGGGG